CCCCCCCCAUUCACACGCCUACUCUCUCUCUCUCUUACCUCUAUCUCUUUUCCCUUUCUACCACCAUGGAUAACCAUUCUCAAAGCUUCCAAGAUCAUUUCUAUACCAAGAAACUCCAUCAAAUCAAGUCUUAAACAUCUAUAUUCCUUGAAUCAAGAACUAGUUUGGAGGGAUUUUCAAGCUUGAAGCAAAAGAGAAGAUUUUUAUCCUUCCUUAAAUAAUUGAGUAAGUACUAGAUCUAUUUAGAUCUAAGCUUGAUUGAGUUAUAUAUGUGUAUAAAUGGUUUAGACCUAGCAAGAAAACAUCAUUUUCUAUUUUUUAGUAAUUUUUGAAAUUUAGGGGUUCUCCCCUUCAAAAUAUUUUUCUUAUUCUUUUCUUAAUUUGGCAUGAGAUCUAUGCUUAUUGAGGUGUUUUGAGAUGAUUUCUAUGUGUAUUGAGAGACUUUGCCAUGAGAUAUGAUUUUUCAUUUAGGUUAGUUUGUCUAAAAUAAGAAAUUCUUGUAUCUAUGGAUUAAAUGAUGAAUUGAUGAUGAAUAUGAGCUUAUGAGAUGACUAAUAUGAUAUUUGAUGGAGUAGAUUGAUGAUUGAAGUUGAUGGUCAAAUUUCGGUGAGAGGUAGUUUGAUGUGAUUUGGGUAAAACUUAUUCUAUGGUUUAAUUGAUUGUUUAUUUAUGCUUUUAAGUGUGCCAAUUUAAUAGAUCUAAGGCUGGAUUAAUGAUUUAUGCAUGUUUACAAAUUUUCAAAAAGUUUAGUUUGUUAAAAAUUGGGACUUUGUGAUCUAUGUGUUAAUUGAUUAAAUUGGCUAAGUUUAAUUGUUAUUAAGCAUGAUAGAAAUGAUAAUCAGGGAUCAAUUUGGUUAAUUGUCAAGAAUGCCUAAAAUUGGAUAAGUUUAGUUUACUAAUAAUUGGGAACUUUUGAUUAAUGAGAUAAAUACUUGAAUUGAUGGUGUUUAUAUGUUAGUUAGACUACUAGCAAGGAGAAAGCAUGAUUAAUUUGGUUAAUGAUGUUGAUUUGUGAAAAUUUCCCUAGUUUAGUUUGCGUGCAUACAUGAGACCUUAUAUAUAAGAUGAGUUAUGAGUCGAGCAUGUUUAUGUAUGGCUAUUUGAUGAUUAAUUGAGCUUAUAUAUGCGAUAUGUGACGAAACGGACCAACCCCUAAUGACUUAUGUGUUGGCCGAAUGUAAGGAGUAAAAGAGAAAGUCGAUGUUUGAAUUUUCUUGAGUUAUAUGAUUAUGUAUUUAUGUUAUUGUGUAUUAUGUGAGCUUAAUUUGAAUUUUUGAGAAUUUUGCAUCGAAGAAGUCCGGAGUCUAAGCAUAAUUGCUUGUAUGUUCAAGUUUGGAGUCAUUUUAUGACCUUUUCUACCUACUGUUUCGUUGGGUUAUUGAUACCCAAAGACCUUGAAAAUUUAUGGUAAGAUUAUAUGAGAGUCUUGAGCAUACCGGUAAAAUUUCAAGUCAAUUGGACUUCGUUUACUAUUUUUAUAAAAUGCAAAACUAAAACUGCUACUUUCUGCCGAAAUGUUCGGUGAGUAGCCAAUAGAGUCACCUUUUCCAGUAUCUUUCCCUAACGUUCUGGAGCCCAAAUUUUUAUUGUUAAUACAUGAGUGUCUUAUCUAAGUACCCACCAAAUUUCAAGCCUUUUCGGCAACGUUUACUAUUUUUCAAAUCAAGGUUUUCAAUUGCUCAAACUGCCGAAUAUGGUAGACUGUAGGAAACAGUCAUAUCUCCUAAACUACUUGGAGUUUUUCAUCCUACUUUUUUUUUUAAAUGAAACUAGACUCAAAGAGGUUUCAAUUGGUAUAGGUCACGACUCCAGUGGAGUUCUGUACCGAGUCUGGUGAAGUCUUUAAAUUGAGUCAGUGCAGAAUGAUGUUUGUUUGUGACAUGUCUAUGUGUGAAUUUAUAUGCUUAUGUGAUUAUGCUUGUUUAUGUGCUUGAUUGCUAUGAGUUUAACCCGAGUUGAGUGUUAAGUCGAGAGUAGGACUUGUGAAUCCUUAGGAGUUAAGUAUACCUAGGGAUUGAGAUUUAUUUGGGUAAAUAGAAGAUGAGUGAUAAGUUAUAUCUUGAGACGAGAUUGGAUUUUAGUAAAUGAGUUUCUAACUGAGGUUUAUCUUAUCUCAUGAACCACUCACGUUGUGACAUCUGAAGAUACGAGCAGAGGACGGAGGUAAUAUCGCCCAAGUAUUACGAGAGUAAGCUAAGUUUGUCAGGUGGGCAUUAUUUUGAGUAUACAUAUUAUACGAGCUUUCUUAAAUGAUAUGAUACUUAUGAUUAUGAAUUGAGUUAAUGUUAUGCUUGAAACUAAUUGACUUGCCGAGUUUUGUUAAUAAUGACUUGUGUGUUACCCUCUACUGAUGAGACGAAUUCGGUCCUGCCACAAGCGGGAUUUUGUGCACAGAGGUGACUGUGAGCCGUCUAUCGGGUCGGCCGGUCACGGUACUUGAGAGGGAGGCCUACUUCUCAGUACCUUUGAUGAUGAGUAGUGGAUGUGGUACAUACUUAAUGAAUAUUUAAACUGCGCAGUUACUUUAUUAUGAUGUUAUGAAUUGCGAAAUUGCAUGCACAGGUUCUUCUCUAACUAAAACCCCUGUGUGUGCUUAAUGUGGCAAGUUCAAUUUAUAGCUCUAAGAGCAAGCUUUCAUUUGUUUUUCGGCAUAUGUCCACUGAGUACUUUGUACUCAGCCCUGCAUGUAUUUCUAAAUGUGCAGGAUAAGCGAGGAUGGAGAAUGGUCUGGUGUUGGCGAGGAUUUUGUUCCGAUGUUAUCCUUUUAUCGUAUUUAUAUUACAUACGGUAGCUUUUUGAUGUCGAUGUUUAUAUUUUGGACUUAGUCAAGAAGUAUACUCUCGGCUAUAUGUCUUCAUACAUAUAGUCUGUAUACGUUUUGCUGCGAGACUCUGUAAAUUAUAAACCUUUGUAAAUUUUUAACUAUGUCUACUUUGUAAACUUUGUCG
rnacentral:lncRNA from 1 species